rfam:Eucalyptus grandis cultivar BRASTZ1 unplaced genomic scaffold scaffold_2, whole genome shotgun sequence.
CACCUAGUUGAUCUUGCCAAUAGUCAUAUGCUUGUCUCAAACUGUAAAACUGCGAAUGGCUCAUUAAAUCAGUUAUAGUUUGUUUGAUGGUAUUUGCUACUUGGAUAACCAUAGCAAUUCUAGAGCUAAUACGUGCAACAAACCUCGACUUUUGGAAGGGAUGCAUUUAUUAAAUGAAAGGUUGACGUGAAUUUUGCACGUUGCUCUGCUGAUUCAUGAUGACUUGAUGGAUCACACAGCCAUCGUGCUGGUGACGCAUCAUUCAAAUUUCUACCCUAUCAACUUUCGAUGAUAGGAUAGUGGCCUACUAUGGUGGUGACGGGUAACAAAGAAUUAGGGUUCGAUUCCGGAGAGGGAGCUUAAGAAACGGCUACCACAUCCAAGGAAUGCAGCAGACACGCGAAUUACAAAAUCCUAACACGGGGAGGUAAUGACAAUAUAUAACACUAUCGGGCUCUUUGAGUAUGGUAAUUGGCAUGAAUACAAUCUAAAUCUCUUAAUAAUGAUCCAUUGGAGGGCAAGUCUAAUGCUAGUAGCUGCAAUAAUUCCAGCUCCAAUAGCGUAUAUUUAAGUUGUUGGAGUUAAAAAGCUUGUAAUUGGACCUUGGGUUGGGUCGACUAGUCCACCUCACAGUGUGCACCGAUUGGCUUGUCCCUUCUACUGGCGAUACGCUCCUAGCCUUAAUUGGUUGAUUUGUGCCUCCUGUGUUAUUACUUUGAAGAAAUUGGAGUGCUCAAAGCAAACCCUCACUCUAUAUACAUUAGCAUGGGAUGACAUCAUAGGAUUCCGAUCCUAUUAUGUUGGCCUUCAAGAUCGGAGUAAUGAUUAACAAGGACAAUUGGGGGCAUUUGUUUUUCAUAGUCAGAGGUGAAAUUCUUGGAUUUAUGAAAGACGAACAACUGUGAAAGCAACCACCCGCGGUGGUGGCGUAGGUGGUUGAGCAAGGGAACUUUUCACGAGAGGUCCCGAGUUCGAUCCACGGCGUCGUCAAGCUUUAAGUGCAAGCCGUGUCUUACCCGGGGGACGUGGGUGGUGGGUCCUCACGUGUCUCCCCAGGGUUUAUCCCAGUCGCGAAGCGGCGUACGGGGGUUCCCUGAGUCAUCAAAAAAAAAACAAAAAAAAAAAAAAACAACUGUGAAAGCAACUUAACCAAAAAAAAACACUGGUGAAAGCAAACCACCGACCAAGGUGGCAUAGAUGGUAGGGCCUUGGACCUCCCCGGUGGAGGCCAAGGGUUCGAAUCCCCUGCAAGCAGGGAGUCAGUCUAGCUACUANNNNNNNNNNNNNNNNNNNNNNNNNNNNNNNNNNNNNNNNNNNNNNNNNNNNNNNNNNNNNNNNNNNNNNNNNNNNNNNNNNNNNNNNNNNNNNNNNNNNUGGGUUGUAUUUCUGCCCUCCCUUUUCGUUUGUUCUUGUCUUGCUUUCUGCCCUGGCUACGCUGUUCGUUAGCCUUCUUCUAGCUGCUUGUUUUCCCGUUUCUUGUAUCUUUCUCUACAGCUUGGGUUGGCAACCUUUCACUCGAUUGGUAUUUCUCUGACCCUCUAAGUGCAAGCAUUUUGGUGCCGGCUCUUCUCUGUUGUACUAUGUAUAGCUUCCUGGUUCACAAGUCUAUUGAUAAUACUUACCUUUUACCAAAAAAAAAAAACAACUGUGAAAGCAUACCACCGCUCGCAGCGGCAACGCUGGCUUUGGGCUCUCUCCCCCUCACGAAUGGGAGAAGUUCGAACCACAGCGUUGUCGUUAGAAUUCUUAAGUGGGACGCCAUGGUGGUGGGUCCUGCGCUAGCGUCACUUGGGGGUUUACGUCGCGGCUAUCGACUGGCGGCGGUUCCUCCAUUCCCAAAAAAAAAAAAAAACUGUGAAAGCACACUCACCCCACGGUGAACAAGCUGGUUCGAUACCUACCCCCUCAUCCGGAAGGGGAGGGGUUCGAAACUCCGCGCCCCCAUUGCGCGACUCAUCUGUGGCCCAUGGGAGGUGGGUCCCUAUGGGUCGCCCCAGGUUUAUGCCGUCGGCUGCCGGCUGUACGACAGUUCCCGGGUCACAAAAAAAAAAAAAACAACUGUGAAAGCACCCAUUCGUGGAUAGGUGCGUUGGUUGAGAGUCUCUCCCUCAUCGCAGAAGUCGAGAGUUUGAAACUCGCAGUUGCUAGCAAUUUAAGUGGAAGGCCCUGGCGAUGGGUUGCUGGGCUAGUCUCCUCUGUGGUGGAGUUCUCGGUUACCAAAAAAAAGAAAAUUGUGAAAGCAUUUGCCAAUGAUGUUUUCAUUAAUCAAGAACGAAAUUUGAGAGCUCGAAGGAGAUCAGAUACUGUCCUAGUCUCAAUCAUAAACGAUGCCAACUAAGGAUCGGCAAAUGUUGCUUUUCGGACUCUACCGGCACCUUCUGAGAAAUCAAAGUUUUUGGGUUCCGGGGGGAGUAUGGUCGCAAGGUUGAAACUUAGAGGAAUUGAAAUAGAAUUAGGAUUGAACCUAAAGUUAGAGUUUUUUUUUUUUAUGGGAUAAAAA